UUCCCAGAAAUCGCCAUUCUAGCCUUGGGCACGGUGUGACUGUUGGCAACUUCUGGAGCAAGUAUGCAGAGAAGGCACUGAAUCAUGUCUGAGGUUUUCAUGGAUUAGCUGUUGGAGCUAAGACACAUGAAACAGAAGUACAUGUUACUGCAAAAUCAGAAGGCACUACAGCCAGACCAAUGUUUGUUAAAAAUUACUUUCAUCCAUCUCCUCGCUCUAACAUUUCCAAGAAUUUCCUUCAUCGCAGUGGAUGGCACUGUACCUCCAGGAUCGUCCCAGACAUCCAAGAUUUGCUCCUGCUAUUCCGGAGAACAGACGUCCCAUACGAUGAAAAUCUGGGAACUCCCUUCCCCUGGAAGAUUUCCAUGAGACCCGGCAUCCACGGUCAAAUUCCGCUUUGAGUUAUCAGUCUUUCAAUGUUAUCGUCAUGAAACCCUAGAUUUCUGUUUAUUCUCUCACUGUUUCACGAAUGUUAGCCCACCAGCUGGGCCCACCACUUUGCAAGGGGCCAGGGCCGCAACAUAGCAGGUUAAGCAUCUGCCCGCACCUCCAGUUUGAGUCCUAACUGCUUCACUUCCCAUCCAUCUAAUGCACCUGGGAAAGCAGUAGAAUAUGGCCCAAGUGCUUGGGUCCCUAGACCCACCUGGAAGGCCCAGAUGAAACUCCUGGUUCCUGCUUCAGAUCAGCUCCAGUCCAAGUGUUGCAGCCACUUGGGGAGUGAACCAGCAGAUGUAAGAUCUCUCUCUCUCUCUCUCCCUCUGUCUGUAAUUAUGCCUUCCUAGUAAAUAAACAAAUCUUAAAAAAUAAAUUAAAUGCUUUG
rnacentral:lncRNA from 1 species